rnacentral:misc_RNA from 1 species
AAGAAUAUAAAAGUGAUGUCCUCAGACAUGGCUGCAUAAGGGAAAUAACUCUUGCUUAAUUAAAUUGUAAUCAUUAUGUUAGUUGCGUUUAAAGACCACAUUUAUUUAAAACAUCAUCCAAAUUUACUUUAAUUAAGAAGAAUUUGAAUGUCCUUUGAUUUGGAUGCAUAUGAUUAAGAUUAAUAAUUCAGCAUUCAACUUUAGUUGAACCGUUGACAAGGUAUUUGUGAUCACAACUGUUAAUGUAUUCAAUUGUUAUGGUUGACUUAAGAAAAUGGAUAUUUUUUUAUUUGUAAGUUUUAUAUUGUUGGUUCUUUGAUAUUUUAUGAUCAUAGUUUACAUGACAUUUAUGUCUGUAUUUAGGAAAAUGCAAAUAUUUUACUGUUAUUACUUAUAUGCACUUGAAUUGUACACUGUGACUUAAGAUUAUGCUAAUAUCUAUAAAGAUGUUAAUGAAUAUGCAUAUUAAGAUGGUGCUAUGAAUGAAUAACUGCUGCAAUGAAUUUUGAUGCUGUUUGUUAAAGUCUUUGAUAGGUGUAUGUGUUUAAUGAUUAUAUUUUUCCUAAUUAUUUGAUACAUUCAUUUGAUAACAAUUGUGAUUUUAGAUUUUCUUUGAUUUAUAAUUUUUUUGUACCAAAUUGUUUGGGAUGUGGUCAUAAAAUGUUUUUAUUAUAAGCUUUACUUUCAAAUUAAACUCUUUAUACU